rnacentral:misc_RNA from 1 species
CCCCACUCGUGCUCUGUGGACUCACAGGAGCAGUGUUGUGGGACCUGUUGCUGACGUGGAGACGUGGAAGGGGGACUUAUUUGAUUGCGUCCUUGCAAACUACCGACGGUUUGAAGAGUUGCAUGUUGUUGCUACUCUGCAAGGGCGAGAGUGCGUGGUUCUGCAAGCUGUCGGCGUGUUGGAUCCUACAAGCCCAAGAGUGUUGCGUCACGUGGUUCAAGGUUCCGCGUUCCGGUUCCACCUACAAUGCUUCUCACGCAGGCACUGACGUCGAUGUUGUUCCUGGUGGUAGGGCCCUCGACCGGCCGGGCUGCGUUCGAGGGCCCGCUGCCCCUGCAGGAGGUGGAAGAGCACCAUGUGACCUACUCCCAGCACACGGAGCCCUUGGGGCUCGACCCCUCGCUCAGGGGAAGAGCUGCCUGCUGCUACGGCGAAGCAGGUGUGGCUCGGGCAGCGGAAGCUCUGGGCGGACUUAGGGACGUCGUGGCUUCACUUCACGCCAGAAGCGUUGCAUCUGAUCAUGGAGCCGCGUGCCCCUACCCAUACACAAAGGUGAUCAGCGAGUGCUUCUAUGCCCACCAGAAGAAGCUGACGUGGUCACAGGCGCGGCGGGUAUGUCAGGGUAUGGGAGGGCACUUGGCGGAACCCGUCCAUCCCUACGGUCUCCAGGCCUACCUCGCUCAUUCCUACGGACCCGGGUACUUCUGGGUGGGAGGCACUGACGAAGGUGCAGAAGGUUCCUGGCACUGGGUGAAAUCGGGUCGGUCCAUUGACGCCGCUGACUGGCUCUUCUCCCGUCCGGACAAUCGAGCUGGGAAUGAACACUGCCUCGAGAUAGUCAUGUCUGACUACCCGGGGCUUUACAACGACGAGACCUGCUCUGUGUCGCAAAGGUUCAUCUGUCAGUAUAAACACAGCGAGUGAACCCUGAGUCUUUGGACAACGAGACCUGUGCUGUGUCGCAAAGGUUCAUCUGUCAGUAUAAACACAGCGAGUGAACCCUGAGUCUUUGGACAACGAGACCUGUGCUGUGUCGCAAAGGUUCAUCUGCCAAUAUAAACACAGCGAGUGAACCCUGAGUCUUUGGACAACGAGACCUGUGCUGUGUCGCAAAGGUUCAUCUGCCAAUAUAAACACAGCGAGUGAACCCUGAGUCUUUGGACAACGAGACCUGUGCUGUGUCGCAAAGGUUCAUCUGCCAGUAUAAACACAGCGAGUGAACCCUGAGUCUUUGGACAACGAGACCUGUGCUGUGUCGCAAAGGUUCAGCUGCCAGUAUAAACACAGCGAGUGAACCCUGAGUCUUUGGACAACGAAACCUGCUCUGUGUCGCAAAGGUUCAUCUGCCAGUAUAAACACAUCGAGUGAACCCUGAGUCUUUGGACAACGAAACCUGCUCUGUGUCGCAAAGGUUCAUCUGCCAGUAUAAACACAUCGAGUGAACCCUGAGUCUUUGGACAACGAAACCUGCUCUGUGUCGCAAAGGUUCAUCUGCCAGUAUAAACACAUCGAGUGAACCCUGAGUCUUUGGACAACGAGACCUGCUCUGUGUCGCAAAGGUUCAUCUGCCAGCGUACGCUACACAGAUGGAUCUUUAAGGAGGAACUUCACGUCGUCAUGUACAGCCCAUCAUCAAAACACUGGUCGAAUGUUUGUUAAUUCCAGCGGCCAAACCCCAACUGUUUAUGAAUUAAAACUCUUUACACGUCACCUGCAACAACCCGUCCUCAGGCCAGGCUCGUUAAAGCUGCGACCGUCCCCCCAAGAUGCAUUCAUCAAUUGUAACAUAUUGUUUAUUGAAUCUGGACUUGGUCUCAUUUGAAUAUUAAUAUUAUACAUUAGUUUUAUGUAUAAUUGGGCAUUGGUUAGAUUAGGUUAGGUGUUUAGGUUCUUUUGGCAAUUAUUUGUAUUUGAAGUACGUUAGUGAAGCAGUUACAGAACUGUGAUUCGAACGGAGGUCGCCAGCGAAGAGCUUCUCGAAAAAUGUUCGAACGUCAUCAGUUGUGAGUCGUGUGUAAGCCGCUUUUCAUUCAUCAGCCGAGAGGUCUGUCGACUGGCUGAACGAACAAUUGGGCUUUGUUGAUGAGGACGGGCUGCACACACCUAAUUGUGUUCGAGCUUUUCUCAAAGAGUGCUUCGCUCACUUCCUAUCUUCAUUCGCGACUCGUCCUCAACAACGAAGGCCAAAUGCUCAUUAAUCCACACAUGAACCCCACCCCCCCCACCCCC